rnacentral:rRNA from 1 species
AUGUUGGCUUAGAAGCAGCCAUUCAUUUAAAGAGUGCGUAACAGCUCACUAGUCAAGAGAUCUUGCGUGGAAAAUGUAACGGGGCUAAACGUAAUACCGAAGCUUUGGAUUUGCAAUUUAUUGCAAGUGGUAGAGGAGCGUUCCUAUCUGCGGUGAAGCAGUUUUGGAAAGAAUUGUGGAGCGUUAGGAAGUGAGAAUGCUGGAAUGAGUAACCAUAAGAUAGGUGAGAAUCCUGUCGGCCGUAAGAGCAAGGUUUCCUGAGCCAUGGUAAUCAUCUCAGGGUUAGUCGGGCCUAAGCCGAGGCGCAUAGCGUAGGCGAUGGACAUCAGGUUAAUAUUCCUGAACCGGUUAAGUUUUGUACACUGUUCACGGAGAGAUAUUUAGAGCGGAUUCAUGGUUUUUAUCCGUCCAACCGAGGGGGAACCCAAAGGGAGUGAAAGUUACCUUUUAGGUGACGAUUCUGAAAAAGGCUCUGGCUAGAAAAGCAGAUGUACGUAUGGACUUAGCCGCCCGUACCGCAAACCAACACAGGUGCUCGAGUCGAGUAGACUCAGGCUUACGAGAGAACCCUCGCUAAGGAACUCGGCAAUACAGCGACCGUAACUUCGGAAUAAGGUCUGCCCCCCAUUUCGGUGGGUAUAUUGUCAGGUUUAAGCGAAUGAAUAGAGAACGGUUAAAUUAAAUGAGUAUACCUUUUAUAAUUUUAACGAAACUUCUUACUGAGAUAGUCAACAAGAUUAAAUUCUAAGCUUAAAACUGAGACUCAAUGUAUCUAACGAUAUGGGGGGCCGCAGCUAAAGAGCCCACGGAACUGUUUAUCAAAAACACAGCUCUCUGCUAACACGAAAGUGGAUGUAUAGGGGGUGACUCCUGCCCGGUGCUGGAAGGUUAAGGGGAGUGCUUCACGGUACGAACUGAAGCCCCAGUGAACGGCGGCGGUAACUAUAACCGUCCUAAGGUAGCGAAAUUCCUUGUCAGGUAAGUUCUGACCCGCACGAAUGGAGUAAUCAUGUGGGCACUGUCUCAGCGAGGGCCUCGGUGAAAGUGCAUUGGCGGUAAAGAUGCCGUCUGUCCAUACCAGGACGAGAAGACCCCAUGGAGCUUUACUACAGUUUUACAUUGACCCGGGUUUCAACAUGUGUAGCAUAGUUGGGAGGCUUCGAAGCAGAUACGCUAGUAUUUGUGGAGCCGCAACGUGAAAUACCAACCUUGUUGUGAUCUUGGUCUCACGUUUACCGUUAUCCGGUAAGCGGACCGUGUAUGAUGGGUAGUUUAACUGGGGCGGUUGCCUCCUAAAGAGUAGCGGAGGCGUUCAAAGGUUGGCUAACUUCGGAUGGAAAUCGAAGUGAUAGUGUAUGCGCAUAAGCCAGCUUGACUGUGAGGAUUACAAUCCAAUCAGAGACGAAAGUCGGAGCAAGUGACCCGCUGUAUAGUACUUUGUACGAUGAAUGUGGGAUCGACAGCGCACACGGAUAAAAGUUACCCUGGGGAUAACAGGCUUAUAGCGCCCAAUAGUUCACAUAGACGGCGCUGUUUGGCACCUCGAUGUCGGCUCAUCUCAUCCUGGGGCUGGAGCAGGUCCCAAGG